rnacentral:rRNA from 1 species
GUGGGGAAUUUUGGACAAUGGGGGCAACCCUGAUCCAGCAAUGCCGCGUGCAGGAAGAAGGCCUUCGGGUUGUAAACUGCUUUUGUACGGAACGAAAAGGCUCUGGUUAAUACCUGGGGCUCAUGACGGUACCGUAAGAAUAAGCACCGGCUAACUACGUGCCAGCAGCCGCGGUAAUACGUAGGGUGCAAGCGUUAAUCGGAAUUACUGGGCGUAAAGCGUGCGCAGGCGGUUUUGUAAGACAGACGUGAAAUCCCCGGGCUCAACCUGGGAAUGGCGUUUGUGACUGCAAAGCUGGAGUGCGGCAGAGGGGGAUGGAAUUCCGCGUGUAGCAGUGAAAUGCGUAGAUAUGCGGAGGAACACCGAUGGCGAAGGCAAUCCCCUGGGCCUGCACUGACGCUCAUGCACGAAAGCGUGGGGAGCAAACAGGAUUAGAAACCCUUGUAGUCC